rnacentral:rRNA from 1 species
GAUCAACGCUGGCGGCGUGCAUGAGACAUGCAAGUCGAACGAAGGAUCGGGCUUGCUCGAUCCUUAGUGGCGGACGGCUGAGUAACGCGUAGGUGACCUACCCCGAAGUGGGGAAUAACUGCCCGAAAGGGUGGCUAAUGCCGCAUGUGGUCGCACGUUCAUUCGUGCGAGUAAAGCCGCAAGGCGCUUCGGGAGGGGCCUGCGUCCGAUUAGCUCGUUGGUGGGGUAAUGGCUUACCAAGGCGACGAUCGGUAGGUGGUCUGAGAGGACGAUCACCCAGACUGGGACUGAGACACGGCCCAGACUCCUACGGGAGGCAGCAGUCGGGAAUUUUGCUCAAUGGGGGAAACCCUGAAGCAGCAACGCCGCGUGAGGGAUGAAGGCCUUCGGGUUGUAAACCUCUUUUGUCAGGGACGAUGAUGACGGUACCUGGCGAAUAAGCCACGGCUAACUACGUG